GUGCUGAAUGACUCAGGUUCUAGUUCUACACUGACUCCAUCCUCCAUUUCCUGUGACCGGAAAAACCUGCAAGACCUCAAAUUGUGACUAGUCACUUAGGGCUAAAGGGCAUAACAUUGUUAACAUGUGGCUUUGGCGAUUCAUGCUGCCUGUAUGACUGAGUCUUUAGAGAGACCUUUUCCGGAUUCUGCUGCUUCAUAGAACCACAGAAGAUUCGGGUGCGAAGGGACCUCAGGAGAUCACGUCUAGUCCAACCCCCUGCUCAAAGCAGGACCAGCCCCAACUAGAUCAGCCCAGCCAAAGCUUUGUCUACCCAGGUCUUAAAAACUUCUAAGGAUGGAGCUUCCCCCACCUCUCAGGGUAACCUCUUCCAGUGUUUUACUAAGAAUUUUAAGAAACUUUUUCUUAAAUCUAACCUAAACUUCCCUUGCUGCAACUUAAGACCCCAUUGCACCUUGGUGGGCCAUCUGCCACCACUGAGCACAGUCCAGCUCCACCCUCGUUGCAACCCCCAGCAGGGAGUUGAAGGCUGCUAUUAAAUCCCCCCCUCGGUCUUCUCUUCUCCAGACCAAAUAAGCCCAUUUCCCUCACCCUCUCCUCACAAGUCAUGUGUCCCAGCCCCUUCCCCACUUUUGUUGCCCUGCCCUGAACUGUCUCUUUCAUGUAUUCGUAGCUCUGUGUGUUUUGCAGUGCGUCUGCCUUCUCCCAGCUUCCUACCAUAUACUCUUCCCUCCAAUGGUGUCUCCUGCUCCUUACUGCUACCUGAUUCUCCCCCUUCCCCUGUGGCUCACAGCGCUCCCUUGGGGAAGAUAUUCUUCAUCUCUCGGAGUAUUGAUUUAUACAGCUCUCCACCUGACUGGCACAAGAGCAGUGUGACCACAUGCAGGCAUCUGGGCUUAUUUAUGUACCAGCUUGGGAGCUCGGUGGCUUCUGGAUAUUGCUAAGCGAUUCUGAAAGCAAAAAAGAGAGAAAUGUGCCUGGCUGCAUAUUUUGUUACCAUCGUUCUGGGAUUGAUGUCACUGGUGACGCUCUUACCUCGGUAGACUGUUGCUGUGGGCACCUCGCCAGCGAGAUAGGAAGUUCUGCUACAUUUAUCCUGUCGGAUGCGUGUGGAAUAGGUAUGUCUGCGAGAGACCCAGCAUCUCGCUGGAGUAUUUUGUUUAUGUGGUAGGAGGAAUCUCAUUAACGCUAACUUGAGAGGAAUCCAGGAUUGCCAGCGAGAAGACAAAUGGAGCGGUGUUGUUGUCAUUUAUCAACUAGAGAGUGACCUUUGCUAUCCAUUAGGCUGAAAUGAAAAGCUUUGGGUUUUAACUUUGUUCCAAUGUGCAGGGCCGCUUUCUUACAUCUCACCAUCAGGGCAUGGCUGGGAUUAAUCAAAUAGUGCAUUUUGCCAGCGCUUAAACAAUAUCAUUGUAUAAUACAAGCAUGGGGUGGUUUCAAAGCACCAGGCAGAAGAAUUACAGGGAAGCCUGCUGCCAGGUAAAACCCCUCUGUGGUGUGGUCCCUCAUUCAGGGGCUUUCCUAAUGGCACUAGACUGUGUCAUGUAGAUGCAAGUUGUUUUAGCCAUUAUUUGGAGGGAUCAAUUGGCAGUAUGGCAGUCAGUGGACUUACACAGGCUUAUCCCAGCCAAGUGUCUCGCCUACGAAGAGUUGCCUCCUAUUAGGACCACGGGGAUUCAAACCUAGAGCAGCUAAGCUGGCAGGCAGAGGGUAAGUCCUUAGCCCCACCAGGUAGCUGGUUACCCCCCCGCCCCAGGCCCGGCCCUGGCCAACCUAGUCUCUCCAGUGAGGACAUUGAUGAGGAGUUGGGUGAUCAGGGGGAACCUAUAGGACAUGUAAGACCCUGACCACGGGGCUACAAAACCCCUCCUACUUCCUGUGGGACUUGUCCUAGUGAUGUCACUUGUGUGUGUGUUUCUUGGACCUCUUCCUGAUCCCUGUCCCUGCCUUGUUUGGACCUCCCGGCUCUGAUCUGCCAUCCGCCCUGAUCACGAUACAACCUCAACUCUUGGCCUGACAAUUUGUACUGCAGGUGUGACCCCAGCCUGCCUACGGGAACUCGCUAAGUGACCGCCCAUCGCCCGGUUGAUCCUGACAGCUCCUCUUACUAGUCAAGCAUGCAUCCCGUUUUUCCCCUAUCUAUUUGGCUGACAGUCCAGUUAGAGACAGUA
ensembl:lncRNA